CUACGGGCUGCUGCAGUGAGGAAUAUUGCACAAUGGGGGGAACCCUGAUGCAGCAACGCCGCGUGGAGGAUGACGCAUUUCGGUGUGUAAACUCCUUUUAUAUGUCAAGAAAAUGACGGUAGCAUAUGAAUAAGCACCGGCUAACUCCGUGCCAGCAGCCGCGGUAAUACGGAGGGUGCAAGCGUUACUCGGAAUCACUGGGCGUAAAGGACGCGUAGGCGGGUUGGAAAGUCAGGUGUGAAAUCCUACAGCUUAACUGCAGAACUGCACUUGAAACUUCUAAUCUAGAGUAUGGGAGGGGGAGAUGGAAUUAGUGGUGUAGGGGUAAAAUCCGUAGAUAUCACUAGGAAUACCUAAAGCGAAGGCGAUCUCCUGGAACAUUACUGACGCUAAGGCGUGAAAGCGUGGGGAGCAAACAGGAUUAGAUACCCCUGUAGUC
rnacentral:rRNA from 1 species